UACGUAGGGGGCAAGCGUUGUCCGGAAUCAUUGGGCGUAAAGGGCGUGUAGGCGGCCCGGUAAGUCCGCUGUGAAAGUCCAGGGCUCAACCCUGGGAUGCCGGUGGAUACUGUCGGGCUCGAGUCCGGAAGAGGAGUGUGGAAUUCCUGGUGUAGCGGUGAAAUGCGUAGAUAUCUGGAGGAACACCGGUGGCGAAGGCGACAUCCUGGACCGGUAUUGACGCUGAGGCGCGAAAGCCAGGGGAGCAAACGGG
rnacentral:rRNA from 1 species